rnacentral:tRNA from 2 species
GGGCCAGUAGCUCAGUCGGUUAGAGCAGUGGACUCAUAAUCCAUUGGUCCCAGGUUCAAGUCCUGGCUGGCCCA